rnacentral:lncRNA from 1 species
CACAGACCUUGUGACCUCACAGGUGCGUCCUCCCCACUCUGCCUCAUGUCACAGACCUUGUGACGGCACAGGUGCUCUCCCUCAUGUCAUUGCUGACACGCAUCACAUCUAUAUAUGCUGGAGACGCCACAACACAGCACUGCAGAGCAUGCUUGAAGCAGUCCCACAUGUGAUAAAGGAACAGAAAGGGAGUUUUCUCUGUACCCACAGACCUUCCGUGCUGAGUGCUCUUUGAUCCUGAGUGUCCUGUCUCCAUGCUGAUCACGUCCCUCCAGCCUGAAGAAUGGCUUUUAUUAGGAUAUUUUCAGCAGACACAGAAUUCUCGGCUGGACGUGGUGGCUCAUGCCUGUAAUCCUAGCACUUUGGGGGGCCAAGGCGGGAGAUCACCUGAGAUCGGGAAUUCAGCUUGGCCAACAUGGUGAAACCCUGUCUGUACUAAAAAUACAAAAAUUAGCCAGGCGUGGUGGCGCAUGCUUGUAAUCCCAGCUACGUAGGAGGCUGAGGCAGGAGAAUCGCUUGAACCCGGGAGGUGGAGGUUGCAGUGAGCCGAGAUCACAUCGCUGCACUCCAGCCUAGGUGGCAGAGUGAGACUCUCUCUCAAA